rnacentral:misc_RNA from 1 species
CUUCUCGUAGUGGUGACAAUGCGGGAUUUGUUCCUAUGUCACCAAAUAAUGAUUCCACUAUUGAUGCUGGCCACAUUGGAAGCCAUAUAGAACCUCCCUUGAGCACACAUGCUGCGAUUACUGAAACCUCAGUAGCUCCUGCUUAUGGAGGCAGCAAUGGACAAUCAUCUAUAGUCUCAUCAACAGAUCAGAAGUCAACUUUGCCUACAUCAAGCACGGUGCAACACCUAACAGGCCCAAAUAGUUUUGUGACUC